GCCUUCGUGGUGUAGUGGUCAGCACGCUUUGGAGGUAAUGGAGAGGUCCGUGGUUCGAGUCCCGGCGAGGGCA
rnacentral:tRNA from 1 species